rnacentral:rRNA from 1 species
GUGCCGCAGCUAACGCAUUAAGCACUCCGCCUGGGGAGUACGACCGCAAGGUUGAAACUCAAAGGAAUUGACGGGGGCCCGCACAAGCGGUGGAGCAUGUGGUUUAAUUCGAAGCUACGCGAAGAACCUUACCAGGUCUUGACAUCUUGCGCCAACCCUAGAGAUAGGGCGUUUCCUUCGGGAACGCAAUGACAGGUGGUGCAUGGUCGUCGUCAGCUCGUGUCGUGAGAUGUUGGGUUAAGUCCCGCAACGAGCGCAACCCUUGUUACUAGUUGCCAGCAUUCAGUUGGGCACUCUAGUGAGACUGCCGGUGACAAACCGGAGGAAGGUGGGGACGACGUCAGAUCAUCAUGCCCCUUAUGACCUGGGCUACACACGUGCUACAAUGGACGGUACAACGAGUCGCGAACUCGCGAGGGCAAGCUAAUCUCUUAAAACCGUUCUCAGUUCGGACUGCAGGCUGCAACUCGCCUGCACGAAGUCGGAAUCGCUAGUAAUCGCGGAUCAGCAUGCCGCGGUGAAUACGUUCCCGGGCCUUGUACACACCGUCCGUCACACCAUGAGAGU